UCUUUUAGUCUUCAAGAUAUCGUAGCGCGAUAAAGACGCAUAGAAAGCAUAUCGGAAGAAAAAUAUAUAAUUUAUUGUAAUACAUAAGUGUGGAAUGACGAUAAAUGUUUUCUGAAAGCAAAUAAAUUAUAAAAACCAUAUGAUUUUAUUUGUUUAAAUCAGAAAGAUUUUUCUCUACUUGCUGUAACGUGCUGGUGAAAUUAUUUGCGAAUUUUAAAAUUUUUUAUUGUUGUUGUUGUCGGUUAAAAAAACAGUUGUGAGCAUAAUUAUUGAAAAGAAAAUCAAAUAAAAUAAAUGCGAAACAGCGAGCAAAACAAAAUAGCGGAAUUAAACAAGUGUCAGUUAAAAUAUUAUGCAUCGCAAAUAAAUAAAAAACAUAAAACAAUACAGAAAACUGGUUUGUGGAAAUAUACUAAAUUUAUUUAAGCAUAUAAAGGGAGAUAAAACUACGUGUAUAGCAGGAAAAUGAUCGUCGAAAGUGAGAAUCAAACGUACACUGAAGUGCCUAUGGAAAAUAAAGACAACGAAGCUAAUGCCAACAAAACCAUAGAUGAAACACAGUUACAGAAGAGUGAUGUGGAGAAAACAGCAAAGCAACAGCUGAAGAAGGAAGGUGAAAAUGCGCCCGAACAUCCGCCAACGAGUUAUGUUACAACGCUUAUACACAUCUUCAAGGGCAACAUUGGACCUGGACUUUUCGCUAUGGGCGAUGCCUUUAAGAAUGGCGGCAUAAUUGUGGGACCCAUACUGCUCGUGGUAAUCGGGGUAAUUUCAGUGCAUUGCCAACAUGUGCUCGUCAAUUGUUCCGAAAAGAUGCGUGCGCUAACUAACGGUGUAGUGUGUGCCGACUACGCCGAUACGGUGGAGCAGUGCUUCGCCAAUGGUCCAGUGAAAUUGCGCACAUGGUCGAAAAUGAUGAAAACCAUUGUGAAUAUUUUCAUUUGUGUCACACAAUUGGGCUUUUGUUGUAUUUACAUCGUGUUCAUCAGCACAAAUAUGAAACAGAUCUUCGAUGCCUACGAAAUCGAUAUUGAUGUACACAUAGUUAUGGUGAUCAUAUUUGUGCCCAUACUGCUAACCUCACUUAUAACGAACCUGAAAUGGUUGAUGCCCGUCUCGCUGAUCGCCUCCAUUUGCAUGGUGGUGGGCUUAGCUAUAACUAUAUUUUACGCACUCAAGGAUGGUGUGCCCAGUGCGGCGGAGCGCAAACUUUACACGGAUGGUCCACAUUUGGCGCUGUUCUUCGGCACCGCGAUCUUCGCAUUUGAGGGCAUAACUUUGGUGUUGCCACUGCGUAAUGCCAUGCGCAAGCCAUCGGACUUUGCGCGCAAAAUGGGUGUCCUAAAUAUGGGCAUGACCUUGGUGACCUUCAUGUUCUUAUUUGCCGGCACUUUGGGUUACCUCAAAUGGGGUGAGGAGGUGGGCGGAAGUUUGACCUUGAACCUGGGCGAUACAAUUUUGGCGCAAUCCGUUAAAGUUAUGGUAUCGGCUGGCGUGAUGCUCGGUUAUCCACUACAAUUCUUCAUUGCCAUACAAAUUAUGCUGCCCAAUGCCAUAGAAAUUAUGCAUUUGCAAAGGCGUCCUUUCACAGGAGAGCUGCUUUUCCGCACGAUUAUGGUGGUGCUGACAUUAUGCAUUGCAGAACUGGUGCCCGCUUUGGGUCUCUUUAUGUCACUCAUCGGUGCGCUGUGCUCCACUGCCUUGGCGCUGGUAUUCCCACCAAUGAUUGAGUUGCUCAUUAAACGCGACGAUAAUAAAGGCCCCGGCGCCUGGUUGUUCACUAAAAAUAUCGGCAUACUCAUACUGGCAUUGCUGGGCUUCUCCACCGGCACCUAUGAGAGUUUAACACAGAUCGUGUUGCAUUUUAAUGAAGCGGAAUAACAUUUAUGGCCAGCCGUGAGAAAGUGUUACUCGAAUAGGUAAUGUUGAUUUAAAACGAAAAUUGGUACUACAUUACGGAAUGGAUCUGAAUUUUUCUGUACUUAGCAACAUAAAUCAAAAUUAUUUCGAGAAUAUUUUAAAUAUAUCCCUACCGCUUCAGACAUCGCUCAUAUGUACUUAUUUGAUAAGGAAACAAUGUGGAAAUGUUUUCGAAAAAAGAACCUUAAGUUUCUAAGAACAAAUGAAGCAUGGAUAAGAUUUAACGACGUCGGAUAGAACUUUCAAUAAAAAAGUUAAAAGUAAAUCUUCCGGAAACUAUACACUCUUUCGCGAGCUUAACUCUAUUUAUCCGUUAUACAUUUCAAGAGCUGUCACAGGUGUCAAAGUAAACUAGUGAAAUUCCAGACAAGUGUACAAAAAAAAAUCGCAAUAACAAGAUAAACACGUGAACACAAGAAUUCCACCGUCAA